rnacentral:antisense_RNA from 1 species
GACUCAAGAAAAGCAUUAAAGUAAUAUCUAAUUUGAGGUGGAGACAUUUUGGAGCUGCUUCCUAAUCUUCAAGAGCUGCUUAUAAAGAGUAGUUUUGAGUUGUUGGUCUUCUUGGAAAAUCGAGAUGAUGUCCGCUUGAACCUUUCUUAAGAAAACAGUAAUGUUUCGCGAGAUCUCGUCAAUUGAUUGGGAAACAUGAAGACCUUUUGUCUGUUCUGAAACUAGCCCAGUUUUAUUAUUAUGACAGAGAGAGCCCUGGAAUUCAGCAGAAUUUGGUAUAGAUCUAGAGUCGAGAAUGGGGCAAAAGUUGAUACAAUUAGUCAUGAAAUUGCUCCAAAACUCUAUUCUCCAAUUUCUUUUAAGACAUGAACUCUGGUUCUUAAUUCUAUAGUUAUAAACUUUAAGAAUAUCAUUUUCAUCUUGUUUAUUUUUAGUGUGUUUAUAUUCCAAGCACCUGAGGGUCUCAUCGCUCCACUUUGUGAGCUCCAUAUAUCUUCCAGUAAUUAAGCAAUGUAUUGUGGAGGCAAUGCCAAAGAUAUCAAUGUGGUGAAGCCAGGGGAGAUUUUCUAACAUUACAGGAGGAAGAAAGCUUUUUGCAUGGCAAUUUCCUUCAAAGAAGGUGUUUUUGUAAAUUUCUCCUAUAUCUAGACUUCUCCCAAAGUCAAUUAUUGACAUGAAUAUCGGUAAUUCAUGGCUCUCUGGAAUCAGUGGGUGACAAGUAAACAGGUUUGUAUCAUUAUUCCAGCCUUCCUCACAAAAACUAGGAUUUGGAUAUAGUAAUAUGUUGUCAGGCUUAAUAUCUCCAUGUAAUAUUUUCAUUUCAUUAAAUGCAAGGAGGGUUUCAGCAAAUUGAUAAGUGAGAAAUAACAGGAUAGGCUCUUCCAUAGUCAUUCCAUUCCUUAGGUAAAACUCG